rnacentral:rRNA from 1 species
AACGCGUGGGAAUCUGCCCUUGGGUACGGAAUAACUCAGAGAAAUUUGUGCUAAUACCGUAUAAUGUCUUCGGACCAAAGAUUUAUCGCCCAAGGAUGAGCCCGCGUAAGAUUAGCUAGUUGGUGGGGUAAAAGCCUACCAAGGCGACGAUCUUUAGCUGGUCUGAGAGGAUGAUCAGCCACACUGGGACUGAGACACGGCCCAGACUCCUACGGGAGGCAGCAGUGGGGAAUAUUGGACAAUGGGCGAAAGCCUGAUCCAGCAAUGCCGCGUGAGUGAUGAAGGCCUUAGGGUUGUAAAGCUCUUUUACCCGGGAUGAUAAUGACAGUACCGGGAGAAUAAGCUCCGGCUAACUCCGUGCCAGCAGCCGCGGUAAUACGGAGGGAGCUAGCGUUGUUCGGAAUUACUGGGCGUAAAGCGCGCGUAGGUGGUUUUUUAAGUCAGAGGUGAAAGCCCAGUGCUCAACACUGGAACUGCCUUUGAAACUGGAAAACUUGAAUCUUGGAGAGGUCAGUGGAAUUCCGAGUGUAGAGGUGAAAUUCGUAGAUAUUCGGAAG